AACUUCAGCUACAAAGGUAAAUUUUUUGGUAAAAUUAUUAACGUGAAAAUAUCUUCUCAAAAUAGGUUUUCUCCAAAAGAUUCUCUAGGUUUGGAUUUGUUUUUUAACGGGAAUCAUAUAAUCUAUGUGCCAAGUGGUGCUGAAGAGCCCUAAUUUAAUUGUAUUGGCAUGAAAUGAUUGAAUUCAUCGGUGAUGGAAGAAAGAGUGAUUUAACAUCAGAUUUCCUGAUAGAGGAAGCUUCACCGUUUAGUUUUCGUUUCUUCAAAGAACGAGAGGGAAGUGGCUGAUGAAGGAAUGAGACUUAUGGAGAAGAAUCUAGUUCCCAGACAACAUCAUUGGCACACCUUUGAAUCCAGUUCUCGUUUCACUCUACAAACCAAAUGAAGUAAAAAUGAACAUAGACAAGUGAGAAUGCAAUUAUGACAAAACAUGGCCACUGUUUUGAAGGAAGGGGUGCCUGACUGCCCAGGGGCACCCAGAGAUUCUCUCAGAUACGGAAAAAUAGGAGCCAAAAGUAAAGCUGAGCACUGGCACAGCCAGCAGGUGUUUCUUACUGAGCUGUCUCUCUGCUCCGGAUACUCCAAUGUAACUAUCUACAGUGGUUUUUUCCUCAGGCCGGGUCUAACUGCCUGUAUCACCAAUAAAUCUGCAUUCUCUUUUACAUUUCUGGUUGCUUCAGCUUUUAUUUGGGUCCUUUCCUCUAGCUCCCUCAGUAGCAUUCCUAUUUUGGUCCUCAGACUUUCCAAAGUCAGCGAAACUUACUUUUUAUUUAUUUAUUUUGUUAAUCACUCACUUACUUUCCCAUCUCUCCUUGCGUCUCUCUUUUCUGCUCCUCUUUCUCCUCUGCCUCCUCCUCCUAUUUUCUUCUUUAUAAUAAUAAUUUAACUCUCCUUUCAGUGUUUUCUGUGAUCAACUUUUCUAUUUAAAUGAAAACCAGUAUUUUAUUGUGAAGUCAUAGAGGUUGUCAUGAUAUUAAGAAUCUGAGACAAUUGGCCAUGGUGGCUCAUGCCUAAAAUUCCACAACUUUGGGAGACCUGGGUAGGAGAAUCACUUGAGUCCAGGAGUUCCAGACUAGCUUGGGCAAGAUAUAAAUCCUUGACUGAUGGAUGCAAUGAAAGGUAGAGUGAGACCUUGUCUCUACAGGAAAAAAAAAAAAAAAAAAAUGCCAGGUGUGGUAGUGUACUUGUGGUCCCAGUUACUUGGGAGACUGAGUUAGGAGGAUCACUUGAGCUCGAGAGGUUGAAGCUGCAGUGAGCACUGUGAUCACACCACUGCACUCCAGCCUGGGUGGCAGAGUGAGACCCUAUCUCACACACAAAAAAAAACAAACCUAAAACAAUCACUGUAGAAAUGUAUCAAUUAUAUCAGAGACACAGCCUAGUUAUUUCUAUGACAUCCCAAG
rnacentral:lncRNA from 1 species